GGGACACGUGGUAUCCUGUCUGAAUAUGGGGGGACCAUCCUCCAAGGCUAAAUACUCCUGACUGACCGAUAGUGAACCAGUACCGUGAGGGAAAGGCGAAAAGAACCCCGGCGAGGGGAGUGAAAAAGAACCUGAAACCGUGUACGUACAAGCAGUGGGAGCACGCUUCGGCGUGUGACUGCGUACCUUUUGUAUAAUGGGUCAGCGACUUAUAUUCUGUAGCAAGGUUAACCGAAUAGGGGAGCCGAAGGGAAACCGAGUCUUAACUGGGCGUUAAGUUGCAGGGUAUAGACCCGAAACCCGGUGAUCUAGCCAUGGGCAGGUUGAAGGUUGGGUAACACUAACUGGAGGACCGAACCGACUAAUGUUGAAAAAUUAGCGGAUGACUUGUGGCUGGGGGUGAAAGGCCAAUCAAACCGGGAGAUAGCUGGUUCUCCCCGAAAGCUAUUUAGGUAGCGCCUCGUGAAUUCAUCUCCGGGGGUAGAGCACUGUUUCGGCAAGGGGGUCAUCCCGACUUACCAACCCGAUGCAAACUGCGAAUACCGGAGAAUGUUAUCACGGGAGACACACGGCGGGUGCUAACGUCCGUCGUGAAGAGGGAAACAACCCAGACCGCCAGCUAAGGUCCCAAAGUCAUGGUUAAGUGGGAAACGAUGUGGGAAGGCCCAGACAGCCAGGAUGUUGGCUUAGAAGCAGCCAUCAUUUAAAGAAAGCGUAAUAGCUCACUGGUCGAGUCGGCCUGCGCGGAAGAUGUAACGGGGCUAAACCAUGCACCGAAGCUGCGGCAGCGACACUAUGUGUUGUUGGGUAGGGGAGCG
rnacentral:rRNA from 1 species